AUGCCGCCGCCGCCGCCGCCGCCGCCGCGCCGCCUCCCCCUCCUCUUCCUCCUACUCGCCGUCCUGCUCGGAAGCACCGCCAGCGCCCUCUCCAUCCCCGCCGCCGCCGCCGCCGAGAUAACAGUCGCCUCGCACCCGGCGGCCACCCUCCGCCUCCCGCCGGCGGAACCCCUCGCCGGGGACGGCCGGGGGCCCUUCUGCACGCGCGUCCACCUCCGCGGCCGCGCCUCCCGCUUCCGCGACCCGUCCCGCUUCUUCCACGCCCUGCGGCUCCGCGCCAACGCCUCCCGCCCCGACGCCCUCGAGCUCUGCUUCCACCGGAAUGCCACGAUUGGUCCGUGCAAGUGCGCCGCGUCGCAGUGGCACAAGGUGCCCAAGAGCGGCCUCUGGGCGCAGUCCCUCUCGCCGUACGACCGCCGGAUCCUCGACUUUCGGAUGCCCGCGGACCCUUCGAGAUCCGUUGUGGUGUCCACGGAGGAAGAGUUCUUGCUCCAUAGGGUGGUGUUCCUGGUGUUGGGGAUGGUGCUGAUGGCUCUGGCCCACACGCUUAGUCAGUCACUGGUGUUCUACUAUGGCGGGGCCAUGACGAUCGGCAUUUUCCUUGUGCUGCUGAUUAUACUCUUUCAGGGAAUGAAGCUUUUGCCUACUGGCAGAAAGAGUUCGCUUGCUAUUUUUGCAUACUCUUCAGUUGUUGGCAUGACAACAUAUUUUCUGCACUAUUUGUCGGGACUGCUGCGUGCAAUUCUUGUGGAAAUGGGAAUCGCCGAAGACAUGCAUAAUCCUCUGGGUAUAUUCCUUCUCGUUUGCGUCAUCCUAGCUGGAGCCUGGUUUGGUUUCUGGGGUGUCCGUAAACUUGUUCUAACGGAAGAAGGAUCUGUUGAUGCUGGCGUGGCGUAUUUCGUCGAGUGGGCUAUCUUGAUUGUUUCUGCUGUCUUGAUCCUCCAGAGUUCUCUGGACUAUCUCCUUGCAUUUGCAGCUUUAGUCUUUUGCAUAAUCAUCAAGACAGUUUCAAGGAUCGAAGGGAUGUCAAGAUUUAUGCGCCAUUUAUCAAGUGGACUUUCCAAGGGAAUCACACGUGGCCUCUCCCGCUAUGAAGAUUUGGGAGGGUAUUCCAACACGAAUGGAGCUCACAAAGAUGGGUUCAGCAAGCUUCAUGGUGAAUACCUGAAACAUACGCCAAGAAGAAAUUCACCUCUUUCAGGCUCACAGAAGAAAACAUCGUCACAAGUUCUUGAUAGGGACAGCUACUAUUCGACCUACCACACUACCCCAGAGAGGAGAAAGUUUACGAAAGAGGAAUACGAAGCAUUCACCAAAGAAGAGACAAGAAAAGGUAUGCAGCAGUUACUGUCCUCGCCGGAUUUCAACAGGUGGGCGCUCGCCAAUGCGGACAGGAUAUCAGUGACUCCAGCAGGAUCUGGACGAAGCAGCAGCAGAAGCCAGGAGCGACAUCGUUUCUUCGGACUGUUUUAA
rnacentral:rRNA from 1 species